UUCCCCCGGGAUGCUGACAGAGCUGGAUUGUGGCUGAAGGCGGUGGGUUGGCCAUCAGCUCCUGACACAUCAAGAAUGUUUGUAUGUAACAAACUUUUUUCCCGGGAGAGCUUUUACAGACAUGUGGACGUUGGCAUUGCUCAUCUCCGACGAGAAGACGCUGAACGAAGUCCCAAAUAUCUUUCCAUCCCUGCAGGGCAGCCAUUUCACUUGAGCUGCUGGCUGGAAAUACUGGAGUUUUGCCCAGUGACCGCAGCUGAAGGAGGAAGUCUAAAUAUGGUCACUGGUGAGAUGAAUUUAUCAUGACAUCACAAAACAAGCAGCAGCCACGCUUCCGGGUUCUUCACACAGUCAGAUUAGAAAUGGCUAUUCAGAGCAAAUGCAAUUAUAAUCAAAGUUAUAGUAAUGUUAAGCCUAUAAUUGUAACUAUUUUUGUUAAAUAAAGGUUAUUAGAACAUGAUACCUAUCACAAGCUGAAAAUACCAGUCAUCUGGUUUAACUACACUACUGCUAAUGCAUGCCUUUGUUCUCUUUACUAUUGCAACCUAUUUUAUGCUUUCUUGUACUGAGAAGCAACAGGAGUUCCUUGAUUUUGAAUGUAUUGUGUUCCUUCUUUAUGUUUCAGGCUAAAAGUGUAGCUUGGCUGGUGUUUUCUCAUGUUUAUAUCUUAAUUGUUAACAUCAAUUAAUCAAAUCU